GACGAACGCUGGCGGCGUGCUUAACACAUGCAAGUCGAACGCUGAAGCUCAGCUUUUGUUGGGUGGAUGAGUGGCGAACGGGUGAGUAACACGUGAGUAACCUGCCUCCUUCUUUGGGAUAACGCCCGGAAACGGGUGCUAAUACUGGAUAUUCACUGGUCUUCGCAUGGGGGUUGGUGGAAAGGGUUUUUCUGGUGGGGGAUGGGCUCGCGGCCUAUCAGCUUGUUGGUGGGGUGAUGGCCUACCAAGGCUUUGACGGGUAGCCGGCCUGAGAGGGUGACCGGUCACAUUGGGACUGAGAUACGGCCCAGACUCCUACGGGAGGCAGCAGUGGGGAAUAUUGCACAAUGGGCGCAAGCCUGAUGCAGCGACGCCGCGUGAGGGAUGGAGGCCUUCGGGUCGUGAACCUCUUUCGCUCAUGGUCAAGCCGCAACAAUGGUUGUGGUGAGGGUAGUGGGUAAAGAAGCGCCGGCUAACUACGUG
rnacentral:rRNA from 1 species